rnacentral:lncRNA from 1 species
AUGGUCACGUGAGCUGGCAUAUGAGAGUGCUCUGUGAGCCUCAGUGCCUUCAGUGGCAUCAUUGCACUGUGACUGUGCAGGUCCCAAACAGUAUGGACAUGAAUGUCCUCAAGCUGCAUGUUAGCAGGGCUUCUAAUUCCAUCUGCAAGUGAUAGUGUGUGGAGCUUAGUUGCACAGAGCGCAUGUUACUGGAGGAGAUAUGGGUCUGUGUCAUCCUGCAUGGGAAUGAUCCUAAAAACAAAGUGAUCAGUGACUGCUCAGGACUGUGGAAAGGUCACUUGGAGCAGUGGGAAAAGAUAAAGCAAUACCUGCCCUGUCUUCCUAACCUUGGAGGGGUCAAAAAAGUGAUGGGUGUGAAAGCAUUUUGUAAACUGUAGUGCAAGCAUACGGCAGGGGAGUGAACCAUACUUUCA